CUGGAUGUCUCUAAAGAGGCAACGCCCCAUACUCUUCAUAGCAGUGUUCUGUCUAUUUAAAACUCGGGGAAGAGGUGGGCUCCUUCUCCCAUAGAUGUGAGCAGGGUUGUCAAUUUCUUCUGGCCCAAGACAGAUCCGUGGAUCACAUAUCUGAUUCUUUCUGGUCCCUGGAAAUCCCAGGAUCCUCUGAGUUUAACAUAGGCAGCCACUGGGAUACAGGUCAGUGUGGUCUCUAAUGUUGCUGUGCCUCCAUUUGCUGACAUUGUGGCUACACUGCAACCAUGCUCUCUGGGUUCACAGAAUGCUACGCUGUACUCUAAGCUUUCCCAGUCUCAAGGGUGGACUCAAUCUGGCUUGGUACUACCACUUUUUUUGGAGGUUGCAUCCUAAAAUGCCAUGUGCUCUUCAUAAUGCCAUUAAAUGCUUUUACUAUUGUUUGGUACAUAUGAACAUUCAUGAAAAUCAACAUAAAACUCUACAUACAAGAUGUAUUCAAAAACAGUAAAUGCUGUUUUUCUAAGCCAUUAUACUCCUGAACCACUGCUCCAUCCCUAUGAGUUAUCAAACCACCAAGAUUGGCUCUGUCGCAUCUGGCCAGUGUUUCCUGGGGAUGUCUCCUUCUGGUUCCUAGCAAUGACCCUGCUGCUUUAGGCAGGCAGACUAUGUCAUUUUUCUCAGAUGGUUGUUGUGAAGACCCUCUCACUUGUAUUGUCUGAUGUGCAGUCAGUAUAACAUAGCUUGCAAGAAGCAGUUGAAAAGACCACUUGUAAUGUUGUGUCAUGGGCUUAAUUGUCAAGGAAACUCGUAGACAUGAGACCGACGAGAGUAAAGAAAAAAAACUGUGAAAUUCUAUCUAAUUCCCUGUGAUGUGUUCAAAUGUGUGAUGCUCAAGAUGGUGCUUAAGAUUUGGAGAAUUCAUUUGUUAGUGUGGAGCCUAAAUAGUCCUUUUUAAAAGGCUAGGCUCAGGCAUAUCCAGGCAGAGUCCAAACAGUUGUACUCCAGUACUGAAAGACAAAUCUACUAAAAGCCUUUGGCAUUCCCACAACCGUGUAAAGACAGAUGGUCCUACUGGAUGUCACAAAUGAUCCUUUUAUUGUAGGUAACUGUCAUCUUUUAGGGUUUUAUCCUCCUAAUCUGUCAUGUGUCCUUGCUGUCUCUAAGACUAUGUCAUGUUCUUUUUUUGAAGUACCAGCCUUCCCAUAAUCUGGUACAUUACAAAGUUUGGAAGAUGUUGCAAUGAGGGGUCGGCUGGCAUAUGCCCUAAGUAGAAGCUGAGUGAGUUGUGGGGAUUUCCUGAGUUCAAGGUACCUGAGCAGAGUGAGGCAGGACAGGUACCCACAGUCUGGAAUCACUGGUCAAGCUUUGUGUGUACACUGCUCUACUGUGGGUGGCAGUGCAGAACGAGAACUGGACGCUUAGCUGGCUUGCUCCUCACUACUCUCUCACAGAUUUUCAUCUUGGACCAAACUGCUUCUGAUCAAGGCACAGUCUCGUGUGUGAUAAGUUUCUCUUUAUGGGUUGGUUGAUGAGUUAGGAUUCUCAACGGAUACUGUUUUGUAGACCAUUGUGUGCCUCCAUUUUGAGCCCUGCUUUUGGUAUCACCAAGUCAUGUGAUCCCUCCAGACUUCUUCCCAACAUUUAUCAUCAUGUAUAAACCUUCCAUCCAGCUCUGAGAAUUCAUUUUCCAGAAAGUAGAUCAUCCUUGGAUGGCAAUGACAUCUUUGGGCCCUCAUAAGCCAAUCCUGGUGGAGAGUAGAGAUCUGUCAGUCAUUGGAGGAAAGAGUCUCUUCUGGUUCAUGAUGAGCAGAUUCCAGGCGACUUUUAUCAAGUGUAAUAAGGUGAUCUAGACCCUUUGUUUGUUAAGUAAGUGCCCAGGAAAUUUAUUUUACCCUCCUCCCCCACAUUUGCACAAAAGGCAUAAGAAGUCUACUGAAGUGUUUUGGGUCAUUAGAGCCCUGCUUGUGUCUUUAGCAAGGUACUGCUCUGCGAAGAAAACUCUGGACAGUGGCAUAUCUGCAAUGUGUCCCUAUAUCUUCACGAUGCUCCUAUGAGACCAGGAAAUAGAGAGCACACAGUAACAUUAAAAUAUAAACUCUGUUGUAUGACUGUUGGGCUGUGCACAGUAGAGUGGUCAUUCUUUAGAAGUACCAUUUGGACAUUUUUCAGCUAUGGAGAAAGAACCCUUUGUCCAUCAUCUUCACCGCUGGAUGUGUUUAUAUUUGUGUCGCAGACCUUGAGCUUUUGAGUCUCCAAGGGGAAUCUUGGUCAUGUUACUACAGGAUGUGCAGUGGGUCUCCUUGACUGUCUUCUGUACAUUGACAAAACAGGUGAUGCUUUCUAUAACUCGGCGUAGGUCCCUGAAGGUGUAGUUGUGUCUCUCUCCCUUUGAGUACCCAGGAUCUUCAUAUUCUCUGUGCUCACCCCAUUCUCAAAGUUUUGUAAAACUUGAUCCCCAGUCAUGGUCUGUCCACAAGUGACCAGGCAUUUGAUGUGUACUUGAGGACACCCCUGACUGGAUAUUUCCAGUUUUUACCCCAUUGUAGUGAGGAGAACAAAGACCUGGAGAUGUCAUAUUGUUCCCUAGUACAGGCCAUGCAGAAGAAAACUGGGCAACCAACAGCAGAAUUUCUGAGUGCUCGAACCCUGUCAUUUUCUACAGGUUGUCUAGCAAGCCUCUGGACAGGCAGCAUGGCAGAAAUCAACUCUUUCCAAAAAAAAGGCUGCUGCUGACACAGUGGAUAGAGCACACACAAGCUCCCUGUCUGACUCCUUCAGCUCCUGCAUGUCUCCUUGGCUAACAUUUCAGAGCUUCUGAUUCUUCAGACAUCAGCUUCUUGAUACUGAAGAGAUUGUUCUACCUGAUGAGCCCAGGCCUAGAAGAUGGACUGCAUCCAAGAAGCCUGGUCCAUCUAAGGCCAAGUCACAUCUUUAAGAAAUAUUUGAAAGCAUUUGUGCACAGGAUAAAGGUGCAAGGACCAAAGUCUCCUUAGACUUUCCAGCAUACAGAGGGUCUGACAGACUCAGGUCAAAGGUUACGUCUGAAGCCUAGAUUAUGAAGAAGGCCCCACUCCACAGUAGAAGCCUGUGGCUGAUGCUGUUGCAACCAGGACUAUGAUUGUGAAACUUUUGUCUGUUCAGGAUAGCAGGUUCAGGAAUCUUGUGCCCAGGUAUCCACAGGCCUUUUUUCAUACAUUUCUUGGUAUAAUUUUGCAAGUCCUGACUUUGGACAUGUCGGGUGCUGAUGGUAUCUCACUUGAUAUAUAGUCCAAGAAAGAUUUUUACCCCUUUAAGGGGCUGGAAAUAGACUGGCCUCACAGUUACCAUUAAAACUGAAGUUCUGUCCUUUGUGGUUAUUGGCCCUUUUAAAACUUGUUUGACUGGAAACAAAGCUCAGAGCCUGAUAUUUCCAAGAUUCACCCCUACAAAAUUCAGAAACCCACAGCUCAAAGCAGUACAGAUACCACUCAGAAAUGAAUCCAAGGACAAGGUGUCUGACAUGAGAAUCUUACAGAUUUAUUUAAAGGUCCAGGACUCAGCAACACUACACCUACGUAGAAUCAUUCAGGGAUUCCCCCGUUAGAAUUUGGGAGCUGCCAUUCACAGAAAUGACCCAUGGGAGACUCUUAUUUCCAUAUCAUAGCCUCCAUGACCCAUAGUGCUGUGACUGCCAUGCUCUCUGUCAAACUCCACAGGAGGUCACCAUUAGUAGAAUAACAGUGCAGGGCAGCAGAGCAGUACAGUGGCCCUAGGGUGGUGUCGUGGGUGGUUCCAGAAGAUACUGACAUCACACCACCCUCUACAUCUAGAAUGAAAGGAAGAGGAACACGGGAGGGAGUGUGUGAUUGAAUUCAUGGCCCAAAGCAGCCUAGGUGUCAGCUAUCAGUCUGGAAGAGCACGUCUGCCUCUGUAUGGAGGAUUCAGGUCAGGAAUGUGACCGGAACCAGAUGAAUCAAUUCUCGCAAGAGGAAAGUCCUUUACGUGACAUCUUGCACCACAACAGAAUAGCCACAAGAUAGCUUGUCCUUAUAGGAACUGGCACACCAAGGGCAUAGGGGAAGUCUCUGGAAUAUACAGGAUUGGUUGAGUACCACACAGGAUGGCUGACAAGCUAGCAGAAGAGUAGGACACACACUGAGGUCAAGUGCCAGGUAUCAUGACCUAUGUAGCCACACAGCUGGA
rnacentral:lncRNA from 1 species